rnacentral:ncRNA from 2 species
CAAAGGCUUGGUCCUGACUUUCCCGUCAGCUUUAGCAAAAUUUACACAUGCAAGUAUCCGCACCCCUGUGAGAAUGCCCACAGUUUCCUUUAAGGAAACAAGGAGCCGGUAUCAGGCACAAGACUAUUAGCCCACAACACCUUGCUUAGCCACACCCUCAAGGAAAUUCAGCAGUGAUAAACAUUAAGCAAUAAGUGAAAACUUGACUUAGUUAAAGCUAAGAGAGCCGGUAAAACUCGUGCCAGCCACCGCGGUUAUACGAGAGGCUCAAGUUGAUAAUUUUCGGCGUAAAGCGUGGUUAGGGAAUUUUUAAACUAAAGCUAAACACCCCCAAGACUGUUAUACGUACCCGGGAGUAUGAAACCCUAUAACGAAAGUAGCUUUAAACAACCUGAACCCACGAAAGCUGUGAAACAAACUGGGAUUAGAUACCCCACUAUGCACAGCCCUAAACUUUGAUAGCAGAGUACAGCCGCUAUCCGCCCGGGUACUACGAGCACCAGCUUAAAACCCAAAGGACUUGGCGGUGCUUUAGACCCCCCUAGAGGAGCCUGUUCUAGAACCGAUAACCCCCGUUCAACCUCACCUUCUCUUGCCUUUCCCGCCUAUAUACCGCCGUCGUCAGCAUACCCUGUGAAGGAUCCAUAGUAAGCAGAAUUGGUAUAACCCAAAACGCCAGGUCGAGGUGUAGCAUAUGAGAAGGGAAGAAAUGGGCUACAUUUCCUUCCCCAGGAAAUACGGACUGUGCCAUGAAACAGCACACGAAGGAGGAUUUAGCAGUAAGGGGAGAAUAGAGUGCUCCCCUGAACCCGGCCCUGAAGCGCGCACACACCGCCCGUCACUCUCCCCAAGCCAUAAUAACUUUUUUCUAAACCCUGUAAUAAGGCAAAGGGGAGGCAAGUCGUAACAUGGUAAGUGUACCGGAAGGUGCACUUGGAAAAAU